GAUGAACGCUGGCGGCGUGCCUAAUACAUGCAAGUCGAGCGAACGGACGAUAAGCUUGCUUCUCUGAUGUUAGCGGCGGACGGGUGAGUAACACGUGGAUAACCUACCUAUAAGACUGGGAUAACUUCGUGAAACCGUAGCUAAUACCGGAUAAUAUUUUGAACCGCAUGGUUCAAAAGUGAAAGACGGUCUUGCUGUCACUUAUAGAUGGAUCCGCGCUGCAUUAGCUAGUUGGUAAGGUAACGGCUUACCAAGGCAACGAUGCAUAGCCGACCUGAGAGGAUGAUCGGCCACACUGGAACUGAGACACGGUCCAGACUCCUACGGGAGGCAGCAGUAGGGAAUAUUCGGCAAUGGGCGAAAGCCUGACGGAGCAACGCCGCGUGAGUGAUGAAGGUCUUCGGAUCGUAAAACUCUGUUAUUAGGGAAGAACAUAUGUGUAAGUAACUGUGCACAUCUUGACGGUACCUAAUCAGAAAGCCACGGCUAACUACGUG
rnacentral:rRNA from 1 species